rfam:Fusobacterium sp. CAG:439 genomic scaffold, scf114
GUGCCUGUAGCUCAGCCGGAUAGAGCGUUUCCCUCCGAAGGAAAAGGUCGUGCGUUCGAAUCGCAUCAGGCACG